rnacentral:rRNA from 1 species
ACGAACGCUGGCGGCGUGCCUAAUACAUGCAAGUUGAGCGAUGAAGAUUGGUGCUUGCACCAAUUUGACGAGCAGCGAACGGGUGAGUAACGCGUGGGGAAUCUGCCUUUGAGCGGGGGACAACAUUUGGAAACGAAUGCUAAUACCGCAUAACAACUUUAAACAUAAGUUUUAAGUUUGAAAGAUGCAAUUGCAUCACUCAAAGAUGAUCCCGCGUUGUAUUAGCUAGUUGGUGAGGUAAAGGCUCACCAAGGCGAUGAUACAUAGCCGACCUGAGAGGGUGAUCGGCCACAUUGGGACUGAGACACGGCCCAAACUCCUACGGGAGGCAGCAGUAGGGAAUCUUCGGCAAUGGACGAAAGUCUGACCGAGCAACGCCGCGUGAGUGAAGAAGGGUUUCGGAUCGUAAAACUCUGUUGGUAGAGAAGAACGUUGGUGAGAGUGGAAAGCUCAUCAAGUGACGGUAACUACCCAGAAAGGGACGGCUAACUACGUG